GCCCCAUAAAUCCAAAACUUAAAAUCUGAAAUUUAUAAAAAUUGAAAGGGAGCUUACAACAAUAGAUAUAAACAAUUCACCAAAGUUUCAUGGACUUUGGUGAAAACCUUUUUGAGUUAUUGUCCGAAGUGUUAAAAAUCCCCCUUUUUUUAUGAAUAAAGCCCCAUAAAUCCAAAACUUAAAAUCUGAAAUUAAAAAAAACGAAAGGGAGCUUACAUCAAUAGAUAUAAACAAUUCACCAAAGUUUCAUGGACAUUGGUGAAAGCCUUUUUGAGUUAUUGUCCGAAGUGUUGAAAAUCCCCCCUUUUUUAUGAAUAAAGCCCCAUAAAUCCAAAACUUAAAAUCUGAAAUUAAAAAAAAACGAAGGGAGCUUACGUCAAUAGAUAUAAACAAUUCACUUAAGUUUCAUGGAAAUUGGUGAAAGUGUUUUUGAGUUAUUGUCCGAAGUGUGGACGACGGACGGACAGACGGACGGACGGACAGACGGACUGACGGACGGACGGACAACGGUAUACCAUAAUACGUCCCG
rnacentral:lncRNA from 1 species